GAGGAGCCCUCGUCCUAUUGGUGGACGGCGGGGCUGGUGGCGGGGCUGGUGGCGGGGCUGGUGGUGGGCCUACUGGUGCUCGCCGUGGUCGGCCUGCUGGUCUACCUGAAGCUGAAAGGAGGCGCCGCGAAGCCCAGGACCGACCCCGAGGAGGCGACGGAGCUGCACCGGGUCAAAGACUCCACGGCCGACAGCCGCCUGCUGGCGGCGGGCGGCGACGAGCCGUCGGGCCUCCAGACGUCUCUCAGUUAACGGGAAACUAGCGCCGCACGAACGAAACGAACACGCCCACUUCUGCCUGGAGACAGAAAUAUAUAUUUUAUUUUCCUACUCUGUCAUUUUUGGUACUUUUGAGGCUCUUGAGGCGUAGAACGUGAACUCUAAGACCUUCAGCGUCCGUGGACCCGGACCAGCUGUGGAGGUCUGGAAGGAGGCGGGGCCUGUUCAACGGAACACAGCAAACGUCCCAGCUCAGUGAGCUAUAGGGGCGGAGCUUAAAGAGCUGGACGCCGCUGGAUAAGCAUCCAGAAACCCAGAAACUAACAACAGUGCUAACAAUGUUAACAGUGCUACUGGAGCUAACAGUGCUAACAAUGUUAACAGUGCUACUGGAGCUAACAGUGCUAACAAUGUUAACAGUGCUACUGGAGCUAACAAUGCUAACAAUGUUAACAGUGCUACUGGAGCUAACAGUGCUAACAAUGUUAACAGUGCUACUGGAGCUAACAGUGCUAACAAUGUUAACAGUGCUACUGGAGCUAACAGUGCUAACAAUGUUAACAGUGCUGCUGGAGCUAACAACGCUAACAAUGUUAACAGUGCUACU